rnacentral:misc_RNA from 1 species
UUGACUCGAGAAAAUCUACAAAGGCAUACAUAUAUUCAGUAUGAACUUAUCUACUCAUGAUAUAUACUGAGUAUUCAUCUAAGUUGUUAUUUGCCAUUUGCAUGCUUGUUACGUGCUUCACUAAGCUUAAUCAAUGUAUUUUUUGUAAGUUUUUACCAGCAUUGGUUGAUGGCAACUAAUAAGUAAUUAUAUGUUGCUGCACAGCCUAGUGGGAAAUUAAUAUAUUAAUGUACAUAUGAUAUACAUGUGUGUGUGUUUACCUGUAUCACUAGAAAAUGGCUUCACCUACCAAAUGAGGAAUGAGCUGGCUUGGUUUUUGGGGAAAUACCUAUUGAGGAGAGGCAUUAUUAGAUAGUUUUCUUGUUUCUGUUUAGCCUUGUGUUUGUGUAAGCGAAUUCUGUAUAUGCAUAUGGUUUAAAGGAUAAAUACAUGCACGUGGUUAAGCACACAAGUAAUUAUGCUUAUCAGUUUGCUGCACAGCUGAGUGCAUAUGCAUGAGAUAUUCUAGAUUCCAUCUAUUUUGUUUUCUUUUUCUUGGCCUUCUUAGGAAUCACGUAAACAUUCUGAGGUCUUUUUGUAUAGUAAGCAUUAUGAAGUGGGGACAGUCCUCAAAAACUGGUUGUUCAUUCACCUAUAGUCUUUGAAUUAACAUUCUUUACUAAUAUAUCUGAUUUUCUAAGGGUGAUUGGAAGGAACUAGAG